UUUUAUGCUCUGACCUCAAAUCAGGUAGGACUACCCGCUGAACUUAAGCAUAUCAA
rnacentral:rRNA from 1 species